rnacentral:rRNA from 1 species
ACGGGUGAGUAACACGUGGGUGAUCUGCCCUGCACUUCGGGAUAAGCCUGGGAAACUGGGUCUAAUACCGGAUAUGACCUCCUGUUGCAUGACUUGGGGUGGAAAGAUUUAUCGGUGCAGGAUGGGCCCGCGGCCUAUCAGCUUGUUGGUGGGGUAAUGGCCUACCAAGGCGACGACGGGUAGCCGACCUGAGAGGGUGACCGGCCACACUGGGACUGAGACACGGCCCAGACUCCUACGGGAGGCAGCAGUGGGGAAUAUUGCACAAUGGGCGAAAGCCUGAUGCAGCGACGCCGCGUGAGGGAUGACGGCCUUCGGGUUGUAAACCUCUUUCAGCAGGGACGAAGCGCAAGUGACGGUACCUGCAGAAGAAGCACCGGCUAACUACGUGCC